rnacentral:rRNA from 1 species
ACGUGGAUAACCUACCCUUGGGACUGGCAUAACCCCGGGAAACUGGGGAUAAUACCAGAUAGAUCAGGGAUGCUGGAAUGCACCUUGAUCCAAAGCUCAGGCGCCCAAGGAUGGAUCUGCGACCUAUCAGGUUGUAGUGGGUGUAACGUACCUACUAGCCGACGACGGGUACGGGUUGUGAGAGCAAGAGCCCGGAGAUGGAUUCUGAGACACGAAUCCAGGCCCUACGGGGUGCAGCAGGCGCGAAACCUUUACAAUGUGCGAAAGCAUGAUAAGGGAACUCCGAGUGCCAGCAUCUAAUGCUGGCUGUCCUUGUGCCUAAAACGUACAAGAUAGCAAGGGCCGGGUAAGACCGGUGCCAGCCGCCGCGGUAACACCGGCGGCCCGAGUGGUAGCCACUAUUAUUGGGUCUAAAGGGUCCGUAGCCGGUUUGGUAAGUCCUCUGGAAAAUCUGGUUGCUCAACAAUCAGACUGCCAAGGGAUACUGUCAAACUUGAGACCGGGAGAGGUAAGAGGUACUUCAGGGGUAGGAGUGAAAUCUUGUAAUCCCUGGGGGACCAUCUGUGGCGAAGGCGUCUUACCAGAACGGGUCUGACGGUGAGGGACGAAAGCUGGGGGCGCGAACCGGAUUAGAUACCCGGGUAGUCCCAGCCGUAAACGAUGCUCGCUAUGUGUCGGGUACGGUGCGACCGUAUCUGGUGCCGUAGGGAAGCCGUGGAGCGAGCCACCUGGGAAGUACGGCCGCAAGGCUGAAACUUAAAGGAAUUGGCGGGGGAGCACUACAACGGGUGGAGCCUGCGGUUUAAUUGGAUUCAACGCCGGAAAUCUUACCGGGUGAGACAGCAACAUGAAGGUCAGGCUGAAGACCUUACCAGAUUAGCUGAGAGGUGGCGCAUGGCCGUCGGCA